rnacentral:rRNA from 1 species
UUUACUGACGCUAAAGCUCGAAGGUGCGGGUAUCGAACAGGAUUAGAUACCCUGGUAGUCCGCACGGUAAACGAUGGAUGCCCGCUGUUUGCGAUAUACUGUGAGCGGCCAAGAGAAAUCGUUAAGCAUCCCACCUGGGGAGUACGCCGGCAACGGUGAAACUCAAAGGAAUUGACGGGGGCCCGCACAAGCGGAGGAACAUGUGGUUUAAUUCGAUGAUACGCGAGGAACCUUACCCGGGCUUGAACUGCAGAGGAAGGAUCUAGAGAUAGUGACGCCCUUCGGGGCCUCUGUGGAGGUGCUGCAUGGUUGUCGUCAGCUCGUGCCGUGAGGUGUCGGCUUAAGUGCCAUAACGAGCGCAACCCUUUUCGCCAGUUGCCAUCAGGUGAUGCUGGGCACUCUGGGGAUACUGCCACCGUAAGGUGUGAGGAAGGUGGGGAUGACGUCAAAUCAGCACGGCCCUUACGUCCGGGGCUACACACGUGUUACAAUGGGGAGUACAGAGAGUCGGUCGCACGCAAGUACGAUCCAAUCAUGAAAGCUCUCCUCAGUUCGGAUUGGGGUCUGCAACCCGACCCCAUGAAGCUGGAUUCGCUAGUA